rnacentral:rRNA from 1 species
UACAGAGGGUGCGAGCGUUAAUCGGAAUUACUGGGCGUAAAGCGUGCGUAGACGGCUAUCUAAGUCGGGUGUGAAAGCCCCGGGCUCAACCUGGGAAUUGCAUUCGAGACUGAAUAGCUAGGGUACGGUAGAGGGAAGCGGAAUUUCCGGUGUAGCGGUGAAAUGCGUAGAUAUCAUGAGGAAGACCAGUGGCGAAGGCGGGUCUCUGGACAGUUCCUGACACUGAGGCACGAAGGCCAGGGGAGCAAACGGG